rnacentral:rRNA from 1 species
GACGAACGCUGGCGGCGUGCUUAACACAUGCAAGUCGAGCGGUAAGGCCCUUUCGGGGGUACACGAGCGGCGAACGGGUGAGUAACACGUGGGUGACCUGCCCUCAGCUCUGGGAUAAGCCUGGGAAACCGGGUCUAAUACCGGAUAUGACUCCAUGACGCAUGUUGUGGGGUGAAAGCCUUGUGCGGCUGAGGAUGGGCCCGCGGCCUAUCAGCUUGUUGGUGGGGUGAUGGCCUACCAAGGCGACGACGGGUAGCCGGCCUGAGAGGGCGACCGGCCACACUGGGACUGAGACACGGCCCAGACUCCUACGGGAGGCAGCAGUGGGGAAUCUUGCGCAAUGGGCGAAAGCCUGACGCAGCGACGCCGCGUGAGGGA